AAUUCUAAUUUAAUAGAAGUCAAGUUAUGGUCUGAGAGAUAACUUAAAAAUGGUAAGUUAUUUAGGAACAAGAUAAAAGGCAAAACACCAAACUUCAUACAAACUUAAAUGUUUGACAUUUAAAAAUUAAAGAGAUUUUUUUUAACGUGUAUUUGAGACAAAUAAGCCAACCUCGGUACAUAACCGCUGAAAACUAAAAAACCGUACCCUAAACCAACACAGGUGGAUAGGUCGAGUAGACUAAGGUGUAUGAGAUAAUUAUGUUGAAGGAACUCGGCAAAAUGACUCUGUAACUUCGGGAGAAAGAGUACCUUUUUAUUUAAGUGUUUAUAGACG
rnacentral:rRNA from 1 species